rnacentral:lncRNA from 1 species
CUCUGAAAUAAAUGACGAGUGGGUAGGAGCUAAACGCUCUUUUUAGUCCUGCAAUUUGACGUUUACUUCACGUUCUGAGACUAGCCGUCACAUGUUGGUCAAAAGCGUCGUUUUUUGUAUCGGACGCUUCCUUUGAAGUAGCAGGCUAGCUAGCUGUUCCACAAUGUCGAAUCUUCACAAAUGCAACAUCAGAAGCUUUCCAUUUUUUUCCACGGCUUGUGUGGAAGCUCACCAGGACUUGUCAUACAGUACACUGCAG